ensembl:lncRNA
AAAAAAAAAAAAGUGAGAGUCUUGCUUGCACAUAUGUCUGUGUAGUGUGUGCAUGCUUCAUGCCCACAGAGUUCAGAAGAGGGUAUUUGAUUCCCUCUGGAGGCCAAGAACUAAACCUGGGUUCUCUUGCAAGAGCAACAAGUGCUCUUAACCGUUGGGCCAUCUCUCCAGCCCCCAGCCAAUGCCACUAUUAUUAAUUACGCCAGGGUACUAGGCCUUGCUGUGACUGUCCAGGUGACCAGGUUGGGACUCACAGGUGUGCCUCACCUGUCACAGAGAUGUUUGCACUGAACUUUGUUGGUGAUUCCUCGAUAAACCAUCUUCCUUCAGCAAGGCUGCCUCUUCCAACCCCAACAGGUCUGAGCACACAGCCGCCUCUCACUGUCCCAAGAGUGCGUGUGUACUGGGGAAAGCUUCCUUUCAUCCUGUGUGGGGAAGCGGGUACCCUGUAGAGAAGGGAUGACUGGCAGCUGAGGGACCCAGCGAGGCAGCUCUGGUGGCACUUUGUGAAAGUCAGGCAAGGAGGGGAUCUGGGUCUGGAAGGUCCAUGUGGGGAGUGUGCUCUGCAGAAGGGACACUGAGUGCCGGGGACCUGAAGACCACGCGGAACUCAGUGUGCUUCAGCACAAGCCCUAUGAAUGCUCACUCAAGUUUUGUUUUUGUGGGGUUUUUCUUUUUUCUUUUGAAAUAGGGUCUCAUAUAGCCCAGGCUAGCUUCAUACUGCCUGUAUAGCUGGGCUGACCCUGAACUUCUGAUCCUCCCGCCUCUGCUUCCUGAGUGCUGGAAUUAUGAUGUGCCACCAUGCCUGGCUUUAUUUCUUUUUUUCUUCCUUUCUUCCUUCCUCCCUUCCUUCCUUGUUAGGAUAAAUCUUUCCGCCAAAGCUGCCAAACCCCACCACGAUGUGUGAGCUUUACACCAGCUGCCCGUCCAGGCCCAAAUGAAUACACAGAAACUUGUAUUAGGUUCAAAUGCUGCUUGGCCAAUGACUAGGAUUCUCAUCUGCUAGCUCAGUCUUAAUUAUCAUAAACCUAUAUGUUUUAUAAGAAUUAUCUUAUAGAGGAUGCUUUUCACUGCCACCCUCUCUUGCUGGUGGCUCACAUUGUGUCACUGGAGGAGGCGAAGGGGAAAGAGGGCCAUUUCCUGUUUCUCCUUGCUUAAAUAUGAGUCUCCUUGCUAUGUCACUUCCUGCCUGGAUCACCACUUCUCUACUACAUUUCCCAGAAUCCUCUUUGACUCCUAGUCCUGUCUAACUUGCUGCCAUUGGCCAAACAGUAUUUUAUUCAACAAUCAAUAAGAUGAACAUACACAGAAGUACAUUCCCCAUCACUACCUUUUUAAAAAUAAACCCAAGAAGUACCAAGAAAUCUAAAUGACCCAGUCUUUCCCAGCACAACCUAUUGGCCCUGAAAAGAAAGUAAUUCACUCGGUAGAUUUCAAUAGCCGACAAAAGUCUAGAAUGAAAAGCUCAGCCUUGCUUCUCAUCUUUUACCCCAAAGCUAAGUUCUUUUCACUCAUGAGUACUUCCAAAAGGGUUCACCAUGGACCAUAAUGUGUCACAGGUUAGUUCUGUGACUUGCUGGGAGCGGAUCACUCAGACUUCUACAGGACACACUCAAGUGUUGGUGGCUGUUUCCAUCAAGGCUUGGGGGUUGGGGACACACUCCAUUGUGUGUAGUGGCUGUAUGUAAACUGUCAUGGAUGCUGUAAACAAUCUAUUAGAACAGUUUCCUCUGGAUGUGUUUUGCUUUUGUGAGCCUGGCUGGUGGAAUUAGGUCACUGAGAGGUGAACUUUAAGCUUCCGGCCCCACACCUCCUGCUUCCUUCCGGGUCUGCUGUAUAGUCUCCGUCACACUUGGGCCGCCAGGAGCUCUACGUGCCUCCCCCACAGAGGUGGACUGAAAUCCCUCAAACCAUGAUCCGAAAUAAACAUUCCUUUCCAUCAUGCCUUUUGGUAACAGCGAAGAGAAAGUUAACUACUAUGAUGCCUUUCAAGGAGUUGUCCAUUUGACUCAGGUUAUAGAUCCAACUGUUUGAAUAAGCAAUUUAAAGCCAUUUAACAUACCAUUGUAAAUGCUUCCAGUGGGUCUGAUGGUCAGUUCUCGUCCCCCAGAAGAACCACCUAACUCAGGGGUCUGCAUCAUGGUGUUCACCUUCCACGGCCACCAUCUCAUUAGCUGUUGAAACCUGGUGUAGAAAGGAGUUGAGCCAAAUAGCACAAGUGUACUCCAGCGUGUGGGAAGCUGAGGCAGGAAAAUUGCCACAAGUUCAAGGCUGACCUGGCCGCAUAACAAGGGAUUAUUAUCUGGAAAGACAGACAAAUAGAAAGCAGAACACAUCCAGGUGUGGUGGAGCCCAUUCAUAAUCCCAGUGUUUAAGGCGCUGAGGCAGGUUUUGUUUUGACACUGGAUGUCCAGUAACUCCCUCUGUAGACCAGGCUGGCCUUAAAUUCAGAGAUCUACCUGCCUCUACCUCCUGAGUGCUAGGAUUAAAGGCAUGCGCCACCACACCUGGCUCUGAGACAGUUUGAGGACAGCUACGUAGUACGUUUGAGGCAGUUUCAAAAAUCCCAAACCAUGAGGACAAUGAGCUAGCUCACCUUGUAAAGGCACUUGAAGCACAAGCCCGACAGCCAAAGUUCAGUCCCCAGAACCAAGUAAAGUUGGAAGGAGAGAACUGACUCCAGAAAAAAUUAAGCUCCUGAGAAAACAUUGCAUUCUAUUCAAAAGCUUUGGAGAACACCUUGACUACUGAGAGACAGGUGAAAACUUAACGUGGAGCAGCAGCUUGAGAUGCUCUGCAAGACAAGAAGUAGGCAAAUCUCCUGGGAUGUGGCAUGUUCUUUAAGUAUUUGUGCUUAAAUUGGGCAGUGGCUAGCCCAGGCCUUUAAUCCCAGCACUCAGGAGGUACAGAGGCAGUGGGAUCUCUGAGUUCAAGGCCAGCCUGGUCUACAGAAAGAGUUCCAAGACAGCCAGGGUUAUCCUGUCUCAAAAAACCAAUAAAUAAAUGUUUGUUUUUACAUUUGUGUAUGUGUGUGUGAAAGAGAGAGAGGUUGUGUGCUGUAUGCUGUGUGUGUGUGGCUAUCCACAGGAGUCAGAAAAAAGGCACCUGAUCCCCCGAAGCUGGAGAUGGAGCUAUCUGAAGUGGUUGCUGGGAACUGAACUCAGGGCCUCUGGAGGAGCAGUAUUGCACUCUUAACCUCUGAGCCAUCUCUUCUGCCCCAGGCAUGUUUUGUAGGUUUAUUAUUUGUUUUUUUUUGAGACAGG